rnacentral:rRNA from 1 species
AACGCGAAGAACCUUACCUGGUCUUGACAUCCACAGAACUUAGCAGAGAUGCUUUGGUGCCUUCGGGAACUGUGAGACAGGUGCUGCAUGGCUGUCGUCAGCUCGUGUUGUGAAAUGUUGGGUUAAGUCCCGCAACGAGCGCAACCCUUAUCCUUUGUUGCCAGCGGUUAGGCCGGGAACUCAAAGGAGACUGCCAGUGAUAAACUGGAGGAAGGUGGGGAUGACGUCAAGUCAUCAUGGCCCUUACGACCAGGGCUACACACGUGCUACAAUGGCAUAUACAAAGAGAAGCGACCUCGCGAGAGCAAGCGGACCUCAUAAAGUAUGUCGUAGUCCGGAUUGGAGUCUGCAACUCGACUCCAUGAAGUCGGAAUCGCUAGUAAUCGUAGAUCAGAAUGCUACGGUGAAUACGUUCCCGGGUCUUGUACACACCG